rnacentral:rRNA from 1 species
CGAACGCUGGCGGCAGGCCUAAUACAUGCAAGUCGAACGGCUCUUCGGAGCAGUGGCGGAUGGGUGAGUAACGCGUGGGAAUGUGCCCUUAGGUACGGAACAACACAGGGAAACUUGUGCUAAUACCGUAUGUGCCCUUCGGGGGAAAGAUUUAUCGCCUUUGGAGCAGCCCGCGUUGGAUUAGGUAGUUGGUGAGGUAAAGGCUCACCAAGCCGACGAUCCAUAGCUGGUCUGAGAGGAUGAUCAGCCACACUGGGACUGAGACACGGCCCAGACUCCUACGGGAGGCAGCAGUAGGGAAUCUUGCGCAAUGGGCGAAAGCCUGACGCAGCCAUGCCGCGUGUAUGAUGAAGGUCUUAGGAUUGUAAAAUACUUUCACCGGGGAAGAUAAUGACGGUACCCGGAGAAGAAGCCCCGGCUAACUUCGUGCCAGCCGCCGCCGUAAUAC